CAAUAGCGUAUAUUAAAGUUGUUGCAGUUAAAAAGCUCGUAGUUGGAUUUCUGGUGGGAGCGAUCGGUCUGGCGCUUAGCGCGAGUACUUGCAUCGUCUCCGGCCAUCCUUGGGGAGAGUCUGUCUGGCAUUAGGUUGUCGGGCAGAGGAUCCUCAUCGUUUACUGUGAAAAAAUUAGAGUGUUCAAAGCAGGCUUAUGCCGUUGAAUAUAUUAGCAUGGAAUAAUAAGAUAGGACUUUGGUACUAUUUUGUUGGUUUGCGCACCAAAGUAAUGGUUAAUAGGGACAGUUGGGGGUAUUCGUAUUCCGUUGUCAGAGGUGAAAUUCUUGGAUUUACGGAAGACGAACUACUGCGAAAGCAUUUACCAAGGAUGUUUUCAUUAA
rnacentral:rRNA from 1 species